rnacentral:misc_RNA from 1 species
GAUGAAGAACGUAGCGAAAUGCGAUAAGUAAUGUGAAUUGCAGAAUUCCGUGAAUCAUCGAAUCUUUGAACGCACAUUGCGCCCCCUGGCAUUCCGGGGGGCAUGCCUGUCCGAGCGUCAUUGCUGCCCUUCAAGCCCGGCUUGUGUGUUGGGUCGUCGUCCCCCCCGGGGGACGGGCCCGAAAGGCAGCGGCGGCACCGCGUCCGGUCCUCGAGCGUAUGGGGCUUUGUCACCCGCUCGAUUAGGGCCGGCCGGGCGCCAGCCGGCGUCUCCAACCUUCUAUUUUACCAGGUUGACCUCGGAUCAGGUAGGGAUACCCGCUGAACUUAAGCAUAUCAAUAAGCGGAGGA